rnacentral:lncRNA from 1 species
UGACACGUUUUUUUUUUUCUAACUACCCCCACCCCACCACUCUGGGGGAGUCAGAAGUUACACAUGGGUUUUCAACUCUGUGGGGGUUGGCAUCCCUAACCCACAUGUUGUUCAAAGUUCAACUCUGCGUGCGUGUGUGUGUGUGUGUGUAUCACAGUUCUAUAUAGAUAGUUAUUCUCAUAUGUGGCAUACUUAGAAAACUCAGGGAUUGCCUGGAGUUUCUUAGAAGAAAACUAAUGCCUGGGUGGGGCCUCAAAAUAUGAGGAAGAUGGGAAAAGUAUGCUAGCAAAGAAAGUGGCAUGAGCAACAAGUUCAUGGAAGCAUGAACGACUAAAUAUUCUAAGUUCAAUAUUAAAUGCAAAAAGAGUAAAAGAGAUAAAGCUCAAUGAGGCAGGUAGUAGCUAGGUCAUGGAAGGACUUUUUUGCCAUGCUAAGAGCCUUGGAUUAUAU